UUUCUCCGUCGUCGCAACAGGAAACCACUGGAGUUUCUACUCAAAGACCUGCAGCGACCUCAACCCCGAUCAAAAGCAGGGAUACACAUAGGAUUUCCUCCGACGAUUCGACGGAAAUCUUCUUCUGAUCGUACCUCUGUCCAAUGACAAUGAUCGGAACACCGAAUCACAACAACAAGUCCCAAGUGAAGGGUCAUCAACAUCGAACUUCCAAGCAACAGCACCUCCUAACAGAAUAUUUAUUGCUCUCUCGCCUUCUACGCUACACGCACCGAUAUUAAGCGACGUCAGUCCUCGUCCGGAUCAUCCCGCGAAUUUGUCGAAAAGGGCGUUCUCAAAAUGGUGUCUAGCAGAAGCCGUAUUGUGGCGAUUCCCAGU
rnacentral:lncRNA from 1 species